ACGGGAGGCAGCAGUGAGGAAUAUUGGUCAAUGGGCGGAAGCCUGAACCAGCCAAGUCGCGUGAAGGAAGACGGUCCUAUGGAUUGUAAACUUCUUUAGCCAGGGAGCAAUAAGCGCUAUGCAUAGCGUGAUGAGAGUACCUGGAGAAUAAGCAUCGGCUAACUCCGUGCCAGCAGCCGCGGUAAUACGGAGGAUGCGAGCGUUAUCCGGAUUUAUUGGGUUUAAAGGGUGCGCAGGCGGUCGAUUAAGUCAGUGGUUAAAUUGUGAGGCUCAACCUCAUCGCGCCAUUGAUACUGGUUGACUUGGUUUCGGUCGAGGCAGGCGGAAUUCGCCGUGUAGCAGUGAAAUGCAUAGAUAUGGCGAAGAACUCCGAUUGCGUAGGCAGCUUACCAGACCGACAAUGACGCUCAUGCACGAAAGUGCGGGGAUCGAACAGGAUUAGAUACCCUGGUA
rnacentral:rRNA from 1 species